rnacentral:rRNA from 1 species
AGCAUAUCAAUAAGCGGAGGAAAAGAAACCAACAGGGAUUGCCCCAGUAACGGCGAGUGAAGCGGCAACAGCUCAAAUUUGAAAUCUGGCCCCAGGCCCGAGUUGUAAUUUGCAGAGGAUGCUUUUGGCGCGGUGCCUUCCGAGUUCCCUGGAACGGGACGCCAUAGAGGGUGAGAGCCCCGUACGGUUGGACACCAAGCCUUUGUAAAGCUCCUUCGACGAGUCGAGUAGUUUGGGAAUGCUGCUCUAAAUGGGAGGUACAUUUCUUCUAAAGCUAAAUAUUGGCCAGAGACCGAUAGCGCACAAGUAGAGUGAUCGAAAGAUGAAAAGCACUUUGAAAAGAGGGUUAAACAGCACGUGAAAUUGUUAAAAGGGAAGCGCUUGUGACCAGACUUGCGUCCGGUGAAUCACCCAGCUCUCGCGGCUGGGGCACUUCGCCGGCACAGGCCAGCAUCAGCUUGCCGUCGGGGACAAAAGCUUCAGGAACGUGGCUCCUCUCGGGGAGUGUUAUAGCCUGUUGCACAAUACCCUUCGGCGGGCUGAGGUACGCGCUCCGCAAGGAUGCUGGCGUAAUGGUCAUCAGCGACCCGUCUUGAAACACGGACCAAGGAGUCAACCUUAUGUGCGAGUGUUUGGGUGUUAAACCCCUACGCGUAAUGAAAGUGAACGCAGGUGAGAGCUUCGGCGCAUCAUCGACCGAUCCUGAUGUUCUCGGAUGGAUUUGAGUAAGAGCAUAUAGGGUUGGACCCGAAAGAAGGUGAACUAUGCGUGUGUAGGGUGAAGCCAGAGGAAACUCUGGUGGAGGCUCGCAGCGGUUCUGACGUGCAAAUCGAUCGUCAAACAUGCGCAUGGGGCGAAAGACUAAUCGAACCUUCUAGUAGCUGGUUUCCGC